rnacentral:tRNA from 2 species
GGCGGUUUGGCCGAGUGGUCUAAGGCGAUUGACUCGAAAUCAAUUCCCUUCGGGGGCGUCGGUUCGAAUCCGACAGCCGUCG